rnacentral:lncRNA from 1 species
UGGUAUUUACCCUGUAAGUACAGGGAACAAGGGGGUAAGAAGGGAGGAGCAAUCCUUCACUUUAAUUUACAACCCUCAACUGUGGUAUUUACCCUUUAAGUACAGGGAACAAGGGGGUAACAAGGGAGGAGCAAUGCUUCACUUUAAUCUACAACCCUCAAAUGUGGUAUUUACCCUUUAAGUACAGGGAACAAGGGGGUAACAAGGGAGGAGCAAUGCUUCACUUUAAUUUACAACCCUCAAAUGUGGUAUUUACCCUAAAAGUACAGGGAAUAAGGACGGAACAAAUACUGUUUUUACCCUUUAACUACAGGGAACAAAGAGGGAAGAAGCUGAACUUUAACACACUAGUGUAUACUUAAACACUAAUGAACAGAGAAAACUACAGCAGCAGUUUUUAUUGAUUGAAGACCAAAUUACUACAUUUUUCUAUAAAGCAUCAGCUAUAAGUUUACUGAAAUGCAAACAGCAGUAAAGAUGGGAGCCUGUUUUAAUCUGCAUUGAACCCUGAUGGUAGGCCUAUAUCAUGCAAAGUUAUUUGUUAAUAGUGAGUUAUGAAGACAUUGAUGGCUUUGGUGAGAUCGACGAGUAAACAUAAGGUAAGUAGUGUAUGGAAAGAUAUUUUUUAUUGAAUUGCAGAUUUAAAAUACAUACAGUAUACAAUAAGGGGUUCAUAAUUUCACAAGUUGUAAACCUUUUAUUCAUUAAACACCCCAUAUAAAACCCAAGCACUGAAUAAAGUACUAAUGUACUCACGCAGGUGCAUGUACAGUACAUUUGCAGAUAGCAAUAGGUUAUCACCAUCCUUGCAUAAUUCUUUAUAUGUAUACAAUACUUAAAGAAAAGUACAUCAUAACCAUAAUAUACUUACCAGGUUCUUUGCGUGAUGAAUAUCUUAUUGUU